GAAAGCAAACCGCUCCCUACGGGAGUAAGGGUGAAAGGGUGGGGUAAGAGCCCACCGCGUCGUCGGUAACGACGGCGGCACGGCAAACCCCACCUGGAGCAAAACCGAAUAGGGGCGACGCGAAGCCGGGGUUUGUGCCCCGUUUGGCUUCGGCCUGUUCCAGGCCAGUCGCCCGGGUUGGUUGCACGAUGCAUCCGGCAACGGAUGUACCAGAUGAAUGGCCGUCGCGCCGCGGGCGCAGCCUGCGGUCAGACAGAAUCCGGCUUACAGGCCGGCUGGUACU
rnacentral:RNase_P_RNA from 1 species